rnacentral:tRNA from 2 species
GGGCGCAUAGCUCAGUUGGUAGAGCAGCUGACUCUUAAUCAGCGGGUCACAGGUUCGAUCCCUGUUGCGCCUACCA